UAGGGAAUCUUCGGCAAUGGACGAAAGUCUGACCGAGCAACGCCGCGUGAGUGAAGAAGGUUUUCGGAUCGUAAAACUCUGUUGUUAGAGAAGAACAAGGACGUUAGUAACUGAACGUCCCCUGACGGUAUCUAACCAGAAAGCCACGGCUAACUACGUGCCAGCAGCCGCGGAAUACGUAGGUGGCAAGCGUUGUCCGGAUUUAUUGGGCGUAAAGCGAGCGCAGGCGGUUUCUUAAGUCUGAUGUGAAAGCCCCCGGCUCAACCGGGGAGGGUCAUUGGAAACUGGGAGACUUGAGUGCAGAAGAGGAGAGUGGAAUUCCAUGUGUAGCGGUGAAAUGCGUAGAUAUAUGGAGGAACACCAGUGGCGAAGGCGGCUCUCUGGUCUGUAACUGACGCUGAGGCUCGAAAGCGUGGGGAGCAAACAGG
rnacentral:rRNA from 1 species